CAGUCAGUACCCUGUGGAUGAUGAUUCUAAUGAUAACCCUUACAUCCAAAUCUGUUCAGGCGUCUAGAAGUUAUGGUGGAAUAAAGAAACUCACA